CCCUUAGAUGUUCUGGGCUGCACGCGCGCUACACUGAUGCACUCAACGAGUUUACGACCUUGUCCGAGAGGAUUGGGUAAUCUUUUUAAAAUGCAUCGUGAUGGGGAUAGAUUAUUGCAAUUAUUAAUCUUGAACGAGGAAUUCCUAGUAAACGCAGAUCAUCAAUCUGCAUUGAUUACGUCCCUGCCCUUUGUACACACCGCCCGUCGCACCUACCGAUUGAAUGGUCCGGUGAAGCCUCGGGAUUGUGGCGAGUUCCCUUUAUUGGGAGUUUGUCGCGAGAACUUGUCUAAACCUUAUCAUUUAGAGGAAGGUGAANUCGUANCA
rnacentral:rRNA from 1 species